rnacentral:lncRNA from 1 species
CUUCAGAGGAUGAGGUUUGAACAGUUGUGGACACAUGUUGCAGAUAUCAGAGAUCACACACACACACACACACACACACACACACACACUCAAACACACAUGAGAUGGGUAUUCCAAAAGAGGAAACAUCUCUGCCUGGGCGUAAAAUGUCUUUAAAUUGAGCACAAGCAGAUGACAGCUGACUCUAUCUUUGCCAUGAGUUUGUCAAAGAUCAGUCACUGAAUCAUAUAGUACGUAUAGUCGUAUAAUAACGACUUACUGUAUUGAUACCGGAUGAAUCUAUUCCAAUCAGGAAAUCUCACAUGAGCCACCUGUUUGGGAAAGAUGAGACCGUAUCCUCCUAGUUUAAGCUUUAGUGUCUUCUGAGCGGCUUGGUUUGAGCUGACUUUGGCACUUCUUGUUGAAAAAGCAAUUUCUCUUGUCUCCUUGCUGAUCUUGUGUCGUAAAAUUUGUAAUUCAUUGGUGUUUUGUGAGUUUGAGCCUGCUAGUGGUUUAAUGUUUUAAUCACUGAGUCAUUUUAGAGUUUUCUUAGCAUGAAAAAAAAACAGCUUACUCUAUUGCAGAUAUUAUAAACACUAGCUUAAUGGCAACCUGUUCUAGCUGCUGCCACACACUUAAGUAGUUUUAUAGACAGGCUUACAGUUUUUAUUUCCCCUCAUUCUUGUUUGUAUCGUUCCCUGUGGCAAAGAUUCACUCUAGGUUGAAUGUGCUGAUUCAUUUGUCUAUUUACAGAAAGGCAUAAUUGAAGUCUGACGCACUUCAAACUCACUUUUCUUCAAAUCAUGAUAAAAUAUGUUGUUGAAAAUCAUAAUCCACUCUGUGAGUAUCCGUGUGCUGAAGUCUAAAUGAUCAUAAUUGAGGCUAACAAGAUCUGAUAUUUGGUGUACAUGUUCAGACAGUAUUUCUUGCCGGGGAAAUUGCUGAGUUUGUUUACUUUGACCCAGUGCAGCUAGCACUGUUAAUAAACAGAGCAAUUACCCAACUACAUUUGACUUGUGUUCGUGGGCCUUUGGAACCAUAAAAGGAUUGUGCUGUAUCGUGUGUUUUUCUCUCUCCUACAGGUAAAUUAUUUUACUCAACUCUUUGAAAGUCCAGCAUUAAUGAAACUGUAUUAGAUCCAAACAAAUAUCAGCCAUGUUGUCAUCCAAAGUCUAUGCUAGGUAAAAGCCAAAAAUACUGCGUCGUUAUUUUUUUACCCAGGUCUCGGCUGCCUGCUCGUUUGAUACUGUUUUAGUGAGUGUUUGCAUAGUAACGAAACACCAUGUGUGUGCUGACCCAGCCUGAUCUUCCCACAGCAGUGUCUGGACCUGGUGAGGCGAUGUGCGCUGAGAUGCUGCACCAAAACAAAACAAACCAGUCUGAGGGAACAUGUCUCUGGAUCCAGAGUUCAGCACAGCCACAUAGGGCUCAAGGAGGACUCCUAUCUCGAUGGGGAAAGAGCCACAUUCCCCUGAAAUGAGCUUCUCAAGGAUGAAAGCCUCAUGUGAGCUUCCCAGAUGACCCACGACCCUGUCUGUAUUUUUGCAGGAGGGAGUCCUGAUCCGUGGUUCUCUGCCUCCCUGCCGGGAUCCUGGGGAGUCGAGUUGGGGUGGCCAGACAAGCCCACAAUUCUGCCCUCGGGUGUUUUGAUUUGGGGUAAAGAAAGACCCUCAACUGAGCCGGCACUGUCACAGCAGUAACCUUUCACCCUGGGAGUUUCAGAGGUAGGCCAUAGGAGACUGAUCCUGAAGUGCCGCACAAUUCUACAUCAGAGUUUGCACCACUCUUGUGUUUCCCAAUUCAUGAGAUUUUUUUAUCCUUUAAACACAGUUCAGCAUCUCAGUGUUGGCUACAACUCAUGGACAUCCACGUUUAUAUUUGACGUCAGAUCACAAUAGUGUGAUUCUUGGAUAUUGGAAAGGCAACAAUAUGAAAACUUGACGGCUAUUGUCUUGCAACUAUGUCUCACCGGGAACAAUGGGCAACUUUCAUGGUAGUUCUGGUGAAGCCAGCAGUUAUUGUGCUGAAUUGUUUACCAUUCAGUUGGCAACUUUGGGCACAACCACGUGUUUAGAUUUAAAGUGAAUAGGGCUGUAUCAACCAAAGAAAUUCAGGGUUUUCGACCAAAAAUCAGGGGAUUUUUUCCAACUGACGGAAAACCCUUCUGCGGUGGUGGACGACGCGGCUUAUUGGGGUGAAAAUGUACUGAUAUCAGCACAAGACAGAAACCAAACACAAAUAUUAUAUUCAGCAAACCACUGGACAUUGAUUAACAUGGACGCUCUUCAAUCUUCCUGUCUCCAGCCGAUCACCAGUUGGUUGGCUGAAUCCGAAAUGGUGAAAACAAGGGGGGUGUUCUGAGACAGCCCAUACCUGUGAAAUGGGGGUGCUCACUUGGUAUGUUCCUCCUGACGAAAUUAACCAUAGACUGUAAAUUGACGUAGAAAAAAAUCGAGUCGACCAAUCAGAAUUUUUGUCGACUCAGCACAUAUCGACCAACAAGUCGAACAGUUGACUUGGACUUUACAGCCCUUUAGGUGAAGCACAAUUUACAAAGAAAUGCUGUCAUUUCAUUCUUCAUUACUUCCCCUAGAGGAGCAUACAUCUGCUUAUGACGAGUCUCAGUUUCACUGUAAGAAGUACACUGCCCAGAGGCUUUACUCAAUCAUACCUUAGCUGUAUGAACCUGAUUUUCCUUUGACUAACAAGUGAUCUGCUAGUUGAUUAAAGGUUGAGUCACUAUCUUGCAUAGACAUGAAAGCUGAAUAAUCUGAGCCCUUGUUGGAUUUCAUUACAGAGUGUCGAGCAGAUUCCUCCCUCAGGUUGAAACUCUUGGUCCAGAACAGAUUGUUAGCUGCACUUGCAUGCAGAUACACAGUUAGAGAUGAGUACGUUGUCAUCCGAUUACUACUACUACUGAAGGGUGGGAUGUCUUUGCAAUGGACUGUGUUCUGCCUACUUUUGCUCUCUGUAUUGACCAUUUUUUUCACCAGAACCUGCUGAUGAGUGAUUGGUCAAUACUUGUUGGACUACAAAAACAGAAACCACUCUCCUGUUACGAGAGUCUAUGUUUUUAAGUUGAAUCUGUUGAUAGAGAUGGUGGAAGGAGCCAUGCUUUGGUGUCCAGUAGUUAGAAAGAACCUGUCCUGUUGCAGAAAGUUUGAGGAGUGAAGCUUUUUACUUCUUUGACCUCUGCCUGCGAUAUUGUGACAUCAUCUCACCCAACAACCUCACUGGACGGAUGAGAGAGAAGCGAAAGAAAACAAUCAUAUCAGUACCUGGUGGUUACACGCUUGAAAAGAAAGGAUGUUUAGAGUUCAACAGCAGUGGUCAAUAUGUAUCUUCAGGCAUGAGCAGUGUGUACAUCAGGACUACGCUGGCUAACCUCUGCCCUGCCCCUCAGGCUUUUCAGGAUGUCAGAGUCAGCCCCAAACACGCUGAAUUACAAACAAACACAGAUGCCCCAAAUUCCACUUUCACUUGAAACAGUUGGCUGACCCCGUUUUCCCCUCUGUUCAGGUUACCUUUGCCCACUCUCACCCUCAGGCCAAUGGUAAUCCAAUAGAGACUCAGUUUUUAAAGAGCAGGGUGAACAGGAAGACAUUGUGUGUGACUGGUUGACCAGUGCAGGCCCCACCUCCUGCCCCAUCGACCAAAUGGGGGUAAUAGAGACUUGAGUGCAUGUUGACUAAAUUGUAAUUGUUUCAGUGACUUAUGCCAGGUUACCCUAACUUCCUGUCAGCUCUGUAAGACAGGGACUCAACAUCUCAACAUCUUACCAUGUAGGAACAGGGCUCCUCUUUUUCAGGUACACAACCUCAGCGUAGAAGCUCCUAGCGAUGGGAAUUCAGGCUCUUUUAAGUGAACCAGAUCAUUUGGCUCAGAAAGAACCAGCUUAUUCAGCUCUCAAACCGCAUGUAUACCCUUGUGUGCCUUGGACUAGCGAUAUUGGCUUAGACCUCUGCAUCUCAGUUGCUUUUAUCCAUCACUGUGGCAUGUUUGCCAGUCAGUUGAAAACAAAACUGAUUAAAGUCUUGUGUCUUUGCUCCUUCCUUCUCCUAAACUCAAACUCUCUUUCACUCAAUCCACUUUGAUUAUCUCUCGUUUUUCAUCUGUCACUACAUCGCUCACUUUAGUUGUCUCACCUCCAGAGCCAGACGUUGGCUCCUCUGAAUUCUCAUGUCUCCAGAAGCAAUAUCCGGAUUUGGUUUUGUGGUUGCACCAUUAAAUAUCCUGAACAAAAGACAUUCCCUUUGUGCAGCGGGGCAUAGCCCUCCACCCCCAGCUUCAGUCAGAUUGCAGGUUACAUUCGCUCAAGAAAAAAAGUCGGUCAUGAAGAGGUUGGAGGUAAAAAUCCUAAAAGUUCUUCUUUUUUUACUCUCUUAAGGAGUCCCAUGUGUUUCUUGUGUUUCUUUGCUGCCUGUCGUCUGUAGCUAAAUAAGCAAUAAUUACAGUAAAAUAAUGUAAUUGCUGUAAUUUUACCAGAGAAUAGCACUUCACCUGCUAUUUGUUAACACUCUUCCAGUAGAGCUGCAAGCAGAUGGAUCACAUGGUUCAUGUCCAUCUUAGACUUCUAGGCAGUCACUGAGCCAACAGACAAGGUCGCCUCCAAGAAACAAACAAAGCUGCACUCAUCCUCUUAAUUUUCAGGAAUGUCCUCAUUGAGACAAGAAAGACACUCAUUCACAUGGCGCUUAAUCAGAGUCAUACUCCCUGCACUAAAUUUUGGAGAGCACUUGUUAAACAACCGUCUUGUGCUCGUACAAGAGACUCUAUGUCCUCUUUAACCCACAGAACCACCACAGGACAAUAUUAGUUCACAGUCCUGACAGUGUCCCAGUCCAAGGCCACAUCCGCUCACUGCUGCUUCAAACUGUGUGUCACCUUUUACGCUGAGAGUGAUGAAGAAAAAAAUACAGAUCUUAAAAAAGUUUUGAGGUGAAAUCCAACUAGGCUGUGUCUUGAGAUAACAUUUGUUUUGAUUUGGCUCCAUAAGAAUAAAGAAUGAUCUUUUAUACUAAAUAUGUACAUUAUCUGUUGCUAUAAAUACAGACCUUGAUGAUGAGUUUUUUGCAAACAGGCAUAUCACAAAAGAUCAAAGAAGUUGCAUUGUAUUGUGUAGCUCUCCAGACUUUAAAGUCAGAACCCCUGUGGACAAAGUGUUGUUUGCUAAUCUUGCCCUCAACAUGCUUCAGCUGUGCUUUUGACAAAAACAUCUCAUGCUUUCACCUUUUGAUAGAUGAACGUAUCAUUUAUUGUUAGUCUUUUAUUAGGAAAUUGUAAAAACAGGGUUGUUUUUUCAGCUGUUUGACUGACACCUACCCCUCACACUGGGUUCAGGCAAAAAAAAAAUAGGAUUUAGAAAUUGUCGAUCUUGUUUCCUGAUGGUCUUGUUUGCUUUUUGAUCUCAUGGGAGCCAUUAAUAUAGGAUUUUUUCCAUUACAUAAAUGUGGAAAAAAAACUGCACAGGAGCUUAAAAAAGUUCAACAACAGCUACAGUGUACCCACCUUGAAGUCAAGCCAACCCUUUUUUUUAAUUCUGCAAAACUUGUGACCUUAUUAUCUUCAAAGCUAGUGAGUUAUAAAACCCCAAACCCCAAACAAUGUGUGCGGUACAGAAAUUAGUCAUUUGGGCCAAUUUUUCAUCUUUUUGUGCCAAGCUGUUAACAUGUAUAUAUUGCUUUAAAGAUGGGCUAUUUUAAAUGACUUUCCAUUCGUCUUCAGCUGCUUUUGGAGCCACCCUCCAGUGGACACUCGAGGUAUUGCAGUUUCUAGCACCGCUUUAUUUCUCAAGAUCUGAGAUUUCUGCACGAUCAAAACAUAAUCAGUCUUUUUUGUGUGUGUACUAAUUAAUAUUGAAAACCUAAAGCUGUGUAUUGUAACCUAACAGUGUUUGAAGUAGCAGUGUAAGGACGUGCAUUUUCAUACUACAUCUAAUCAACAAAAAGCUCACGUGGCUGAUACUCAAAAUUAACUGUGUAGUCACAUUAUUGAAAGAAUCUAUAUUCCCCCCCUUUGCUGUCCCAUUUAUACUCUGCAUAUGGGCUCAGAUGAGUCAGCCGCAGUAGUCGUCUUCACAUCCAGGAGUCUGUAACAAUUAUAGAAACAAAGCUUGACAACAUUUGAGUAGAGAGUGGGGCCUCUGGCUGUCCUGCAGGUCUCUGCUCUCACCAUUGUGCCGUCGGGUUUUACUGUAAAUCUAUGGGCCUCUUUGGCACAAGUCAAGCGGGUGUAGUCUAUCUUUAACAAUGUGACAGUUGGCAAGUGGGCUGACCCAGCAUUAAAGACAUAUGUUGGGUAAUACACUUGUCUACACACACAUUUGCCAGAAUUGCUCCCAGAAGUCCGCUCAUCGAAUGGUGGUGAGAAUUUUUUGACGUUUCCACAAUCCCGGAUUUAAGAUUAAUAUUUUCUUUUAUAUCUUAUAACAAGCCCUGACUUUCUAAUCCUACCGAGAGCCUGUGUCCCUUUCAGUUAAGUAAUGAGCCUUACUUUACAGUCUGCAGCUUCUCCGGGGACUUUGAUUUACUCUGAGAAUUAGCAGACUUGAAGUAAUUUAUGUAUCUGUUUCAGUGCAUCAUAGUAAAGCUAUGGAGUGGGAUGAUUUGAUUUUCUCUAUUAUAAUGCCAGCUAUUUCCUGCCAAAUUUGCAUGAGCUUGUGCAGAGUGACAGUAAACAGCCAUGUGAUUGUGGGCCUAAUGGCACCACACACAAGAGUAAUAUUUCAAGUUUGGUGUCACAAUUUGGAAUAAUUUCACAAUACUGUGUCUCUGAUGUUCUUCAAUUUGAAGCUGUCUUCUACCAGUUGUUGAAAGCAGUUAGAUCUCUUUUGACUGAGUAUUGGCAUAAGCAGACCUAGCUAACGGAUCCCAAAGAUUGAUGUGUCGCAGCAUAGGAUUUGUGGAAAGUUUGCUGGAAGACUAUAAUAAUUGGGAUGUUUUUGUGAGCUGAGAUUCCAGUCUAAAGAUAGUUCCUCACAUGGCAAACACAAGACUGAGCACGAAACCUGCAAACUGCGUGGCUCCUGGAAUGGUGGCCUGGACAAUUAGAGCAGAGGGGUCCACUCAGGGGUGCUGACCAGAAGCCAAGCAGGGCGCGUGAUUCGGCCUGAAAGGUAGCAGCGAUGAUGUAGGGUCAUGGACAAAGGCUCCACUCAGUGUUGCUCUUUUGCUUUACGCCUCACACUCACGCGCACUGGCCUUGGAUUGCUUAUUGAAUUACGUCUAAUCACUCAAUUAAAGUCACAUGGAGGAGCAGCAUACGUUGUCCCAGCACAGCUACUGGGCACUGGAUAACGGGUGCUGUGUUGGUAUUCGUGGGAAGUUUUCAAAACAAGAUGUCUGAAAUGUUCGUACUGUGACAAGCGUCUCAAUCUCUGACUGCGAUCGUUGAGGUUUGACGACAGCUCUGGGAAAGCACCAUCAUAAAUGUAGAUCAAACAGACAUAUCCUGAACUGCUUCCUAUUCAUAUGAGAGUGUAAAUGUCAUGAUCAGAUGUCACAUGAUUUUUAAUGAAUACUGAAGCGCUUCAGAAAAAGUGAAAGUAAUCACCAACAUGUAAUAACUGACUGUGGGGUUAAAAUACGGUAUCAGUUUGGGUCGUAUACAUGCAAGAGAAAAUCGGUCUUCAACGAAUCAUCCAGGUUUGUCAGUCCAACUAUGAGAAGUUCGAUUUCAGUGCAGUUUCAGUCAGAUUUGAGGGUUAACAUGCAUUUAAAAAGUCCACUUUCAGUCAAACUAUUGCAAUAAAACCGAGGAAGAACAGCACUCUGUAUGUAUGUGUGUGUAUGUAUGUGUGGCUCCCACUGUGUGUUUACACGCUCUGCCUCUUUCAAUUAGGUAAUGCCAUAAUGUAGAGCAAAGUCUUGAGCAUUAAUAUUAGACCCCUGCGUUCUACAGUAAGUGAACAUGAAAGGGACAAUUUUGUGCAAACUGCUGUUGCCAUCAGUUGACCUGAAUUUUUUUUUUCUCAUGUCAGACCAUUAAGAGGUUCAGUGCGUAGAAAUAGUCAAAUUAAGCAUAAUCUAGCAGUCAUUUUUCAGAAUUGAAGUGCUCCCUUACUCAUCCCUCCUGUUGGCGAGGUGAUGGUGGCCUUUGAAGACAAAAAGUUCCUCCAUUCAUCAAGUUUGUACUUCCAGAAAACGUCUAUGAAUGUAAAUUCUUGUUUGCACAUCAACCACUCUUUCCUUCUUCAUCCUCUAACUGGUGCAUUAUGGACACUAUCACUCACUUGAUACAAAAAUGCUGCUAGGUUGCCCAGACUGUGUUAUGGUAGAAACAUGGAGGAAAGAUGGCAGCCUCAAAGAAGGGGACCCGCUCCCGUGUUGAUAUAAAAGGCUCAUUUAAAGUUAAUGAUAGGAAAACUAUUUUUGUCCUCAGGUGAUUAUACAAAUAUGAUAACACAAUAACAGAUAUUCUGUUUCUACCAAGUCUGCUCUGCUAAAUGCCACUAAAUACCACACUCUGCACCUCUAAAGGUCCCCUCCUGUAGUUGGUGUAUUUCCAUGACAGUGACAUAUUCAAAAAAUACAUGAGUCACUGCGGAAAAAAGACGUUUCUACCAAAUAAGUGUAGUUCUUCGAUCAAUUGUGGUAAGACGGACAAUAGUAUGAAUGAUUUCAGACCCUUUUUUCUUGAUCUAGUACAGCUGUUAACUUGAUAAAGAUUUGAGUCAUUUUCCAAAGUAUGAGAUAAUAAGUAUAUUUAGCUAACUCAUUUGGUCUUAUCUUAGCUCGCAAGCCCAGUCCCUUUUAGUAAAACAAACAAAGCUGCAAAUUUUCCCAUUUAGGAUGUUAAUUUCAUUUACUUUUUCGUUUUCUUUGCCUGAAAAUUGAGAUUUAUGACAAACUGAUUUUUUUACAGGGUUAUUCAGUUGACAAAUUUAAAAAUCAUUUCAUCUCUAGUUGAAAUAAUAGUAACAAAUUUGGACAUUUUUCUUUCUAAAACACCAGUUGACAUCAUUAAUAUACAAAACGAACCUUUUUUUUAUUAACACAACAUAAUGAUAAUUAUUGAAAAAACUGUGAUCAUUUGGAGUUAUAUUUUCAUAAUUUCAAAUCAUGUUUGAUAGAGGCUGUUUAUUUAUUUAGAUAGUUCUAUGUAUAUGUCGGAGACCUCACGCAGGGUCAAUCCCAAGGUCUCUUCCUGCUCCAUGUGGAGAUGAAGUGUGUCUGCUGCUGGCCGGGUGUUGAGUGGCAGCAGUGAGUGAGGAGGAAAUGGGGUCUGGCAUGUUGACUCAGGAGUAAAUCCCCCUGGACUUCUCAAGAGGCUGCCAUUAGAGUUUAAUCACCCUGUGAUCCUGGACACACUCUGGAGCUGAGAGGGAGAACUGAUGAGCAUGCGGCGCGCCAACUGUGAGCAUCCUCUCAUCCAGAAGCUGCAAUCAAUGCUGUGGAUGGAUGAGUGCAAUCCAAUGAUGAGGACACACCAUAAGCUCUGAAGAGAGUAAUGAUGCUCUCUUCUUUCCACGUUUGAUGCCUCCUGUUUUAUUAGAAACUUUCUCUCAUCUGUGUUUGGACAAUUGCUUUGUGAAGCCCGUAUUAUACUUGUAAAUGAUACUUGAGUGUGUUAUUCUUCUUCCUAGUUCUACUUUAUUACCUCCAAUUUUCUCAAGGCCUUCAGAAAGUACUUCCAAUGUCUCAACAAGCCAGCUCUUACUUUUCAUUAUUCACAGCUUAUUUUUAGACAAAGGGCCCAUUCUGUUGUCUGUGAAAGCAAAAAGGCAGAGCAGCAGUGAAUUGUUUCAGGGACAUUUACAUAAUACCGAGUGACUGAGUCCCUAUUUUAGGCGGAAUUCUUUCCAGACAUCGCUGUUUGAGCUACCAGAGAGAAGAACAAGUGUGGAGAGAGAGGGACUAUCAAAGGAGAGGAACCGAGCUUUCAUGUUAGGACACUUUGAUUGUGUUACAGAUUGGUUCCAGGUGAGGUAACUUAAAAAAGAAAAGGAAUCCCAAGGGAAGAGAGAAAGUUGUAACUAAGGAUGGCAUUGGCGGGAUUUAGGCAUUAUGAGAAGAUUUAGAACAGCAGGUGGAAAGAAUCGAUGAGUCUCAAAUAUUGUGUUUUGUGGUGGGUGGCAUUCAGGGGGGCCUCAGCAGCUUGGGGAACUGUCUUUGUUUAAACAUAGACAAAGUUUUCUUAGAUGAAAGAAAAUGGUGGGAAGCAAUAUGUUCAGCCAACACUGUACUUAAAGGCGCUGACUUUGAAUCUCACUCUUAUAGUAAUAUGACCUUCAUGACCUUCUGAGUUACAUUAUCAGCCAUAAGAUUAGUUAUUGCUUUGUACUUCAAGUUUAUGCCGGAGUUUGAAAAGAAAUAGUUGACAAUUGUGCAAAGUUUGGACAUUUAUUUAAAGACUGGAACACAUCAUGACACUGGGGCUAUGACAGGUAAUGUUAUAUCAGUACUUUUGGACCCUACUCUUAAGUUUCUAGGUGUAAAUCACAGUUUGUCAUUAAAAUGUUAGCAUUAAUAAUUUUACUUACCUGAAAAUAUAUAACAUCAACACUCUGCAUCCGGCAGAUUGUGUUCUUGAACUAGGAAAAGUGUGUAAAAGAAGACAUGUAUUCCUGUCAUUAGAUGCACACUUCAAUAGGAGAAACAUCUUUAUGACAGCAGGUGAUAACACUCAUGGGAAAUGCAGUCUCUAGUCCAGAAAAUCACACCAGUAUUAACCCAGAGAGGCUUCAGGCACAAUCUAAACAUCUUAGGACUUUCUUUUACUCCUACUUUUAGAGCUGCAACUAUAAAAGUUAUUUUUACUUUUGAUAAACCUAACUUAUGUGCCUUAUGGAUCUUUUUUUCAGCCUCACAAUAUCCCAGAGCUGGUUAACUGUAUUAAAGCUCUUAACCAACACAACACCAAAAUCCCAAGUUUUAGCUAUCACUUAAGCCUGGAUUUAUAGUUAUUUAUUUUACCACUUGUACAACAUAAAAACAAAAAAGCUCAAAAUCUUCUCUCUUCAAAUACCAAGAAUGUCAAAACUUUCAAAGCCCCUGUACAGACAGCAUCAGAAUCCACUAAUUGGCCAAGUAUGUGUACACAAGGCAUCAGGUUGCAGUUUACAAGGCUUUCUAAACACAUAUACCAACAUGCGCACACAAAUACACACUGAAGCAGUAACGCACAAAGAGGCAAAAUGGUGCCUUUAUGUCUUUUUCAGUUGAGCCACAGAGCAAUGCUUAUUUCUUUUUUUAAAUAGUCGUGUGUAAAAAUCAGCCCCAAGAGGUUUCUGCAUUUGUAUUUGUAAAACUAGAGCAACAGAGAGAAAGUCCUGUAAUUUAUCCAUGUGAACCAAAACUCCAGUAAAGCACAACUGAAUGCAUGAAUUUCACUUGAAAUUGAGUCAUUUCUAUUUCCAAUUAAAUAUAAUCCAUUUCAAAAGUCUUUGGAUGUGAUGUUAAAACCCCGUAGUCAACUUUCUGUGCCGAGGUUCUUCGCAAUCCGUCCAGCUUUGGUCAACCAUCUUACCACUGUGCUUUAUGCAAUGAUUGGAAGCAGGCAUUGUGUGGGAAGUCCAAUUAGAAACGGGAAAUUGCUCUGAGCUCUGCGCUGUGUAGCCAAACUUUGCCGCAUGGUCACUUACCUGCACAUCUGCACUGGUUUUGUAAAAGCAGUAGCCACCUUUUUCCAGCACCUUAAUUGGAGUUUCCAUUGCUGAUUGCCUGAAAGAGAGGUGUAUUGCUACGGUCUGCUUCCUGGUAAUGGUCUCUGGCUUUUCACUGAUGUCUGAUGAGAAGGAGGUGGAAGUCAGGUUUAGAUUUAUGCCAGGAAGUCUUUUUUUGCUUAUCUAAAUAAAAAACUUUUGAGGUCCCUGAGAUGUGUGGUGCAAAAUGUCACCCACUGCUGCCAAAACAAAGCCUUUUGUGAAGUCUCAUUAACAGGAGGGUGUUGUGUUGUAAUUAGAAAAAGAGAAAAUACAUUGGCAUGAAAAGAAACCACAGGGAACGCUCACUUAACUGUUAAUUGAAAAAGCAAAUUCAUUCACCGUAGAUAAAUCUUAAACAUCAUGUAAGAUCCUCAGUUAUGAAAAUAAUUUUUCUGCUUCUCUGGACAGAUUUUAAAAUGAGCCGCUCUCUUUGCUUGCCUUCACUUUUGACCUGUAACACCAUAUCCACUCGAUCACUUUCAUACCCAACCCCGCGAGAAUGUUUUCAUGUGUCAUGUUGGCUAAUUUUCUCGUUUAUUCGUCCGUGAAAGCACAAGGAGUCUGUGGUUUUGGAGUUAUAAAGCACGUAACAUGAUUGAACUUUCUAAUCCAUAUUGUGUGGUCUUGACAUACAGCUACAUUUAUUACUGCGCAAUAUUGUGAGUCAGUGUGAGAGAAAAAUGGUUCACCCAACACCUCGCCCAGCCCUUAAGGGCAGCACUUUUUCCCCGAUAUGUUUGAUGCAGGUCGUGGGACAAACGUGGAUUUGGUUUAUCAGAAGCCAGAAACACAGCUCAACAUAUGGGGAUCAUUUUAGGAGGGAAACAUGACUUAUAGCCAAAGAAACAUAUUCAAGAAGAAAAAAAACACAAGAGGUAUAUGGGCUCAAAACAGAUUUACUGCACUGACAUCACAUAUUUUUUUUCUACUAUUAAGAAUUUCAGCUGUGAUAAAAGCAGUGAUAACCUCGCACAUUUACUGAACUACCCCACUUAAAGGGAAAGCGUAAAUUUGAGGAAACUAGCUUUUUAACCCAGAGUUAGAUAAGUGGAUAUAUCUGAUCUCCUGUCGUACAGUAGAAUUCAAGCUAGGACCUCCAGCUUAGCUUACGCAAGGAGUAGAGCUGUAAACAGCCAGGAGGCACGAUUAUGACAAUAAGAAAGUCUGUCAGUCAAAUUUUCACCCACAACUUUUUGGACUGAGAAAUCGUCCUUUUUGCACCUUUUUUAAGGAAUCAUUUCAUUUACCUUUAUACGACAGGAAACACAGGGAGAAGAGACUCAAGGUUGCGGCCAUUAGUUUAACUAGCAACUUCUGCAACAAAGACCAACCACAGUACUGCACAUGCAUACAAGGCCAUCAGCGCCCCCUUUUUACACUUAAUGUAUAGUUUUGAUUUGAGAUUUUCUAAAAUAAAAAUCUGUUCAUACUUGUUUUUUGUUACUUUUGGAUGGAGCAAAGCUAGCAGCUCUCCUCUGAG